UCCCAAGGCUAAAUACUACCUGAUGACCGAUAGUGAAGCAGUACCGUGAGGGAAAGGUGAAAAGAACCCCGGGAGGGGAGUGAAAUAGAACCUGAAACCAUGUGCCUACAACCGGUCAGAGCCCCUUAUGAGGGUGAUGACGUGCUUUUUGUAGAACGAGCCAACGAGUUACGGUAUGUAGCAAGGUUAAGUACUUAAGGUACGGAGCCGAAGGGAAACCGAGUCUUAAUAGGGCGACUAGUUGCAUGCCGUAGACCCGAAACCGGGUGACCUAUCCAUGGCCAGGUUGAAGCGAGGGUAAAACUUCGUGGAGGACCGAACCACGUUGCUGUUGAAAAAGCAUGGGAUGAGCUGUGGAUAGCGGAGAAAUUCCAAUCGAACUCGGAGAUAGCUGGUUCUCCCCGAAAUAGCUUUAGGGCUAGCGUCGGAUAUGUCUAGUGGAGGUAGAGCACUGAAUGGGCUAGGGGGCAUAGCGCUUACCGAACCUUAUCAAACUCCGAAUGCCAUAUAGAUUAAGUCCGGCAGUCAGACUACGAAUGAUAAGAUCCGUGGUCAAAAGGGAAACAGCCCAGAUCGUCAGCUAAGGUCCCAAAGUGUAAGUUAAGUGGAAAAGGAUGUGGGAUUUCUAAGACAACUAGGAUGUUGGCUUAGAAGCAGCCACUCAUUUAAAGAGUGCGUAAUAGCUCACUAGUCGAGAGAUCCUGCGCCGAAAAUGUACCGGGGCUAAACUUACCACCGAAGCUACGGGCUUGCGUAAGCAAGCGGUAGGGGAGCGUCGUAAUCGGGCUGAAGUCGUACCGUAAGGAGCGGUGGACUGAUUACGAGUGAGAAUGUUGGCAUUAGUAGCGAGAUGUAGGUGAGAAUCCUACAGGCCGAAUAUCUAAGGUUUCCUCAGGAAGGCUCGUCCGCUGAGGGUUAGUCGGGACCUAAGCCGAGGCCGAAAGGCGUAGGCGAUGGACAAUCGGUUGAUAUUCCGAUACCACUACCAUCGUUAUUAUCGAGGGUGUGACGGAGAAGGAUAGUGUGUGCUAGCGAUUGGAAAUGCUAGUCUAAGCGUUUAGGGAGUUACGGUAGGCAAAUCCGCUGUAACAAUUCUGAGGCGUGAUGGGGAAGGCCCUUGAGGCUGAAGUACAUGAUUCCAUGCUUCCAAGAAAAGCAUCUAGAGAGAGAAGUAGUGCCCGUACCGCAAACCGACACAGGUAGAUGAGGAGAGAAUCCUAAGGCCGGCGGAAGAAUUGCAGUUAAGGAACUAGGCAAAUUGACCCCGUAAGUUCGCGAGAAGGGGUGCCUGCGAGAGCAGGCCGCAGAGAAUAGGCCCAAGCAACUGUUUAGCAAAAACACAGGUCUCUGCUAAAGCGUAAGCUGAUGUAUAGGGGCUGACGCCUGCCCGGUGCUGG
rnacentral:rRNA from 1 species